UUUAAGUAUCUCGAGUUGCCAGCCGAUUUUCAUCUCGCUAACGAUUCCACCUUUCCCGAAUUCGCUUGAGAGACCAUGAAACACUAUGGCUCCAAGACAAAGUUGAACUUGAUAAAAUACAGUAAAUGUAAGAACGCAACAAGUCAAACCUCGACUUGAAGCUAUUGUUUCGCGUACUCAAAUAAAUUCGGGAAAGUUCUAUUCUCUUCCAGCAUUCAUUCAUGUUAAAAAAAUAGUACAUGAUUUUUUAAAUGCGUUUUUUUAAAUUCAUUUCUCUCUCUGAUAUAUUCAGCAGGUGAUGACACACCGUGCAAAUACCACUACCGUUCUGUCAUUAACGACCAUUGUUUGGCAUGCUGUUGAAUUUAUGAAUUAUCAUUUUGUUCCCCCUGAAUUUGUAGACUGGGAUGACCUAGCAUGAGACGAUUUCUCACACCAGGAUUAGCGAUGCCAUGUCCAAAGUUAGAUUGUCUGACGGUCUACUUCGCCAGAUGUGCUGCUCUGCAUGCGUUUCGUUAGACUUCAAAAUUUAUUUUAAAUAACAGAAAAUUAAAAUUUUAGUAGAGUCCAGCAAGAUAUCACCUACCUUAUAGAUAUAUUAUGACUUUAAUACUUUUAUUCGC